CAUUAUCAUAUACGUAUUCAUCUGCGUAUCAAUGCAAAUACGACUUACAUCUUGCAUCGAAAAAUGACAAUAGUCGACUAUAAUUAGUGAAUUUCUUAAUCAGUGGUAUUACAUCUUACGUUGAUACAUUUGUGAAGAGCUUUGUUAUCUACGGCCAGUUGAAAGGCACUUUAACUAUUAACCGAGGUAUUGAAAUCUUUUAUCAAAAGUCUUAACGUUAACGACAAACGAAUAAAAGAUUGUAUUAGAGUUUAAUUCGAUAUCUUCCAUUGUAUCUUCCAAUAUAAUAAUGUAAAGUUUAUUAACGAGAAGUAGAAUCAUAUAUCUAAUUAAAAAUAAACAACUAAUAGAUUUCGUUCCAUUACAAAGAUAUAUAUACAUACAUUUAUGCGUACACAUUAAAAGUAUUGCUAAUAAAAAAUCAAUAGGAUUAUAGAAAACAUUUCAUUGUAAUUUGAUGCCGAAAAUAACAAAUACCCUUCAAUAAUGUGUAAUUUUUUCUUUUUCUAUCAAGUAUUAAUAUCUUUUUAAUCAAUUUAAACAUUUUUAGUUCAUAAUGUAUCAAUAACAAUAUCAGAUAUUUAAUUUUGGCUCAUUGCAGAACAAAGGUUGCUCGUUACUGUCCAUACAAUAUAAGAAAAUCUCAAGCAAUACCCAAGAGAAAGACUACUGUAUACUUUGUGUAUGUGUGUGUGGGUGUGUAUAUUAUGUAUCUAGUUACGUACAUAUGUACAUAUACACAUAUGUAUCUAUUUACAAAUGUAUGUUUGUAUGGGAUCUUCCAACAUUCCACCUCGGUGGUUGCCGAAAGACUGAUCUCAUACGAUAUUCGACAGAAAGUAAAUAACAUAAGUUGUAUUUAGAUAUUUCAGCUUAUAUAGAAACAUAUAAACAUUGUAAUAAGAUUUGCUUUGUAUACGUCAGCUAGUAAAUGGUAUAAACAUU